CGGGCGGUGUACUCCCAGAUGGCGUCCGGGUCCAGGAGCGCAUGGUCGCCGAAGUAGGCGCCGUCGGCGAGGACUCCGAGGACCGCGUCGUCGCCGUAGGGUCCGGUGCCGACCUUCUCCACGCGGCCGUGCGCCAGCAGGUACACCUCCUCGGUCGGGCCGCCGAACGAGGCGAUCACCUGGCCCGGGGCGAACUCCCGCUGCUGGCAGCGCUGGGCGAGCUCGGAGAGCACGUCGUCGUCCUCGUAGGACCUGAGCGCAGGCAGCUCGCGCAGCUCGUCGGGGAUCACCUCGACCCGGUCCCCGGUCUUCACGAAGGUCACCCGGCCGUCGCCCACGGCGUAGCUCAGGCGGCGGUUCACCCGGUACGUACCGCCCUGGACGUUCACCCAGGGCAGCAUGCGCAGCAGCCAGCGGGAGCUGAUCUCCUGCAUCUGGGGUGCGGACUUGGUGGUGGUGGCCAGGUUCCGCGCGGCCGCUGUGCCAAGGCUCUGCUGCGGCCGG
rnacentral:antisense_RNA from 1 species